rnacentral:rRNA from 1 species
GAUGAACGCUGGCGGCGUGCCUAAUACAUGCAAGUCGAGCGAACAGACGAGGAGCUUGCUCCUCUGACGUUAGCGGCGGACGGGUGAGUAUCACGUGGAUAACCUACCUAUAAGACUGGGAUAACUUCGGGAAACCGGAGCUAAUACCGGAUAAUAUAUUGAACCGCAUGGUUCAAUAGUGAAAGACGGUUUUGCUGUCACUUAUAGAUGGAUCCGCGCCGCAUUAGCUAGUUGGUAAGGUAACGGCUUACCAAGGCAACGAUGCGUAGCCGACCUGAGAGGGUGAUCGGCCACACUGGAACUGAGACACGGUCCAGACUCCUACGGGAGGCAGCAGUAGGGAAUCUUCCGCAAUGGGCGAAAGCCUGACGGAGCAACGCCGCGUGAGUGAUGAAGGUCUUCGGAUCGUAAAACUCUGUUAUUAGGGAAGAACAAAUGUGUAAGUAACUAUGCACGUCUUGACGGUACCUAAUCAGAAAGCUACGGCUAACUACGUG